CGACCUCAGAUCGGACGAGAUUACCCGCUGAAUUUAAGCAUAUUACUAAGCGGAGGAAAAGAAACUAACAAGGAUUCCCUCAGUAACGGCGAGUGAAGCGGUAAUAGCCCAGCACCGAAUCCCUCAGUGUCAUGCUGACGGGAACUGUGGUGUGUGGGACGCCACCAGUCGCAUCAGAGGGCGCCGAAGUCCUCCUGAUCGGGGCUUCACCCAGAGCGGGUGUAAGGCCUUUGCGGGUGCCUCUCUGUGCGGCCGCGAGCGUCUCAGGAGUCGGGUUGUUUGGGAAUGCAGCCCAAAGCGGGUGGUAAAC
rnacentral:rRNA from 2 species